UCUCUCUCUCUCGCUCGCUCGCUCGCUCGCUCGCUCGCUGUCUUUCUAUCUUUUUUGCUCUUAGCGCAACAACUUUGAUAGAGGCAACAGCUCGGGGUAUUUCCAAUGUAUCGUAUAUACACAUCGGUAAGAACGAACGAAAGCGGAAAGAGAGUUUUAAUUUCUUCGGGGGUUCGUGGUCUUUGGCGAUCGUACGUUCCACGUGGAAAACUGUAUAAAGGCGGAACAGAACACAGCUGGAGAAAACGAAAUCGACGAACGGAAAAAAGUUACAUGAUGGAAAAAAGUGAGCAUGAGUAUAAUCCGCGGGGAACAUGUAGAGGGUUGGACGACGGGCUCGAAAUUAAUUUGUCUGUUCCCAGUAUCAAUUUCGAGUAUCAUAGCUGCGAUCCAAGCGGCAAUAUCAAUUGGACUACUCCUCUCGUUGGACAAUACGACAGACGAAGAGAGAAAGAGGGGGUCUUUUAAUUAGCCAGCGCGGAACACAAGUACUCACCAGCAAUAACAGAAAACUAAAUGCAUGCGCAUAUAUAUAUAUAUAUGUAUAGGCUUUUUACGAUCUACGACUGGUACAUCGGUUGUAUUUGAUACGAGUCUCUUCUCAUCUUUCGAGAAAAAAAAAAAAAA